GUCUAUGGCCAUACCACCCUGAACACGCCUGAUCUCGUCUGAUCUCGGAAGAAAUGAGACAAAGAACAAAAACAGAUUUUUUUUAAAAAAAAAUUAUUAUGCUAUAGAGG
rnacentral:rRNA from 1 species